CCAAACUACCACAAUGUCCUUGAGGGAAGCCUGGAAGCCCUGUAGACUGAUCAGUGUUUGUAGACUCCCAGUAAUAAGGGACAAGUUACUGUAUUUAAAGGGUGACUAAGAUGGAGACUGCCUUUUUACAAGGAGCCACAGGGAAAACAUGAGGAGUACAUGUACGAGUUACUACUGAAAACAAACAAAGCAAAGAAACCUGAGAAGCUUCCUUAGGAGACUUAGUUGCCAAACUGAAGCAAGAAUAUUGGGGCCGUGCUUGGCUGGAAACAGCUUGCUUGCUUGGAUCAGAGGAUGAGCAGGAAAAGAAGGAAAUGAGAUAAUGCUUUGAACCCUUUUUUUACACGAUCUAAGAAAAAAAUAUGGAAGCUCCCAGGCAGUUUCAACACUGUGAAACACCAUCUUGAGAGAGGUCAGCACAGGAGGUGUGCCUGGAGGACAGUCCCUUACAGCUGCCCCUGGAGAAGUCUCAAUGGGUAGCAAAGCAGAUGGCUCAGCUCUGUCAAAGAAAGUCUCCUAAAAACACCAGAUUAUUGAGGCAAUGAGGUUCUGGCUUGCUAACUACAUCUGAGAUGCUGAUGGGCAUAGCUCUCUUUCAGCCCUGCCCUUUCUGCAAGACAAAAUAGAAUUUUAAUCCUCCCAAGAAAAUUUUAUAGUGGAAGUAUGUGAAAAUGAGGACAGCAACACAGAUGGAUGUUUGCUAAUAGCUGUUUGGAUUUGGCAAUGUAGGAGGGCUUUUCUAGCUUUACAGUCCCUUAGUAUUUGUAAAAUUACUUUAUAUAAAAAGAAAAAUAAACAACGCCCUGUGGGUGGUAUGCAGGGGUUGUGCUAAAAAUGAAUAAUUUAAAAUAAUGAAUAAUUAACCCCCAAUUUGCCAGUAAGUAAUUUAAAUUUCAGGUGUGCACUAAAAAAAUGUGAAAAUAUUACAAUUUGGGAUUGCAAUUUGUGUUCUUCAAGUGAGUCCAAAUCUGAACUGGCACUAUGUGCCACUAAGAACAGCAAAUCUCAAAACAGUAUGAAUAUGUGCAUUGGACUUAAUGGACUUUCUUUUCAAAGAAGACAAAGUGACUUUAAAAUGGGAACUGCAAGUGCACUCUACCUCCUGGGAAAACAGCUCUUACUUUCCCUUUAUAUAAAGGUCAUUGCAAAUUGGGAAGUUUAAUUCCUGUCCUGCAUGUUUUGUGCCACCAGUCAUGGUCCCUGGCUGAUAAAUAAGAAAAGUGAACUAGUUCUUGAAGAGAGGGAGUGAACAGUAUAAAAUUGGCCAGGUGUUUCUCAGGAGGAGAAACACCUGGCUGCAGUGGGCUUUUUAUCUAUUUUGAAGUAGAUUUCUAAGCUACUCGUUACUUUAGUACAAAGAAUGACAAAUCAUAUAUUCAGUGAGGGAUCAAAGGGAUGACACAGGAAAAGAGAGCCUAGAUGCAGGAUUGCCAUUUCUGGGUUAAUGGAUUACCUGAAAACACAGGCUGCUAAGUUUGGAUGUAGCACCUCAAGAAAUAAAAUUGUUGUUGCCCAAA